GGUCCGAUGGUGUAGUUGGUUAUCACGUUUGCCUCACACGCAAAAGGUCUCCGGUUCGAGCCCGGGUCAGAUCA
rnacentral:tRNA from 1 species